rnacentral:rRNA from 1 species
CUGAGGCGUGAUGACGAGGCACUACGGUGCUGAAGCAACAAAUGCCCUGCUUCCAGGAAAAGCCUCUAAGCAUCAGGUAACAUCAAAUCGUACCCCAAACCGACACAGGUGGUCAGGUAGAGAAUACCAAGGCGCUUGAGAGAACUCGGGUGAAGGAACUAGGCAAAAUGGUGCCGUAACUUCGGGAGAAGGCACGCUGACACGUAGGUGAAGUGAUUUACUCAUGGAGCUGAAGUCAGUCGAAGAUACCAGCUGGCUGCAACUGUUUAUUAAAAACACAGCACUGUGCAAACACGAAAGUGGACGUAUACGGUGUGACGCCUGCCCGGUGCCGGAAGGUUAAUUGAUGGGGUCAGCGCAAGCGAAGCUCCUGAUCGAAGCCCCGGUAAACGGCGGCCGUAACUAUAACGGUCCUAAGGUAGCGAAAUUCCUUGUCGGGUAAGUUCCGACCUGCACGAAUGGCGUAAUGAUGGCCAGGCUGUCUCCACCCGAGACUCAGUGAAAUUGAACUCGCUGUGAAGAUGCAGUGUACCCGCGGCAAGACGGAAAGACCCCGUGAACCUUUACUAUAGCUUGACACUGAACAUUGAGCCUUGAUGUGUAGGAUAGGUGGGAGGCUUUGAAGUGUGGACGCCAGUCUGCAUGGAGCCGACCUUGAAAUACCACCCUUUAAUGUUUGAUGUUCUAACGUGGACCCGUUACCCGGGUUGCGGACAGUGUCUGGUGGGUAGUUUGACUGGGGCGGUCUCCUCCUAAAGAGUAACGGAGGAGCACGAAGGUUGGCUAAUCCUGGUCGGACAUCAGGAGGUUAGUGCAAUGGCAUAAGCCAGCUUGACUGCGAGCGUGACGGCGCGAGCAGGUGCGAAAGCAGGUCAUAGUGAUCCGGUGGUUCUGAAUGGAAGGGCCAUCGCUCAACGGAUAAAAGGUACUCCGGGGAUAACAGGCUGAUACCGCCCAAGAGUUCAUAUCGACGGCGGUGUUUGGCACCUCGAUGUCGGCUCAUCACAUCCUGGGGCUGAAGUAGGUCCCAAGGGUAUGGCUGUUCGCCAUUUAAAGUGGUACGCGAGCUGGGUUUAGAACGUCGUGAGACAGUUCGGUCCCUAUCUGCCGUGGGCGCUGGAGAACUGAGGGGGGCUGCUCCUAGUACGAGAGGACCGGAGUGGACGCAUCACUGGUGUUCGGGUUGUCAUGCCAAUGGCACUGCCCGGUAGCUAAAUGCGGAAGAGAUAAGUGCUGAAAGCAUCUAAGCACGAAACUUGCCCCGAGAUGAGUUCUCCCUGAGACUUAGAGUCUCCUGAAGGAACGUUGAAGACGACGACGUUGAUAGGCCGGGUGUGUAAGCGCAGCGAUGCGUUGAGCUAACCGGUACUAAUGAACCGUGAGGCUUAACC